UGUGUGUGUGUGUGUGUGUGUGUGUGUGUCUCUCACAAAUCGUAGAUCUGAAAUCGAACAAGAAAGUCGAUCUAAUCUGAUCGAAAUCCAUACUCGAUCUGAUCUGAUCUGAUCUCUCUUGCAUUUUGUUAGAUUUGUUCUUGCCCUAGCUUUUCUUCAUCGAACCCGAACUUGAUCUCUUUCGCAAAUUGUAGAGCCGAAAUUGAACAAGAAAAUCGAUCUAAUCUCAUCAAAAUCCGAACUCGAUCUAAUCUGAUCUCUCACACAUUUUGUUAAAUCUGCUGAUUAACAAGGUUUCAAGCAAGUCAUUUUUAUUUUGGUUUUCAUUAACAAGUGUUAAUAGGUGUUUGAUUUCUUUGUAGGUGGCGAUGAAGUGUAGAGAUCGGUUACAUGAACUUGUAAAGGAAGAGAUAGAGAAAAAGGAUUCGAGUACGGAGGAGUGGAAGAUCGCGAUGGAGAGUAGCUUCAAUCGCAUGGACAAUGAGCCACUGGAAUUUCAUGCAACUUGCGUCUAGAGCCUUUAUUUGUAAUCAUCUUUAAAAAAAAGAAAA